UGGGGAAUCUUGCACAAUGGAGGAAACUCUGAUGCAGCGACGCCGCGUGAGCGAUGAAGCCCCUCGGGGUGUAAAGCUCUUUCGGCAGGAACGAUAAUGACGGUACCUGAAGAAGAAGCUGCGGCUAACUACGUGCCAGCAGCCGCGGUAAUACGUAGGCAGCAAGCGUUGUUCGGAAUUACUGGGCGUAAAGAGUGUGUAGGCGGUGCUCUAAGUUCGGUGUGAAAUCUCCCGGCUCAACUGGGAGGGUGCGCCGGAAACUGGAAUGCUUGAGCGUGGGAGAGGAAAGCGGAAUUCCUGGUGUAGCGGUGAAAUGCGUAGAUAUCAGGAGGAACACCUGCGGUGUAGACGGCUUUCUGGACCAUUGCUGACGCUGAGACACGAAAGCGUGGGUAGCAAACA
rnacentral:rRNA from 1 species